rnacentral:rRNA from 1 species
AUGAAAUUGAGUUUGUCUCAUACGCUUCAUCUUUUUAAUAUCUUUUGUGAGUAUGAUGGAAAGGAAAAUUGUGCCAAAGUGUUAGAAGAAGAAUGCAUUAAAAUGGUUGGCACUAAAUCUUUGAAUGAUGAGUAUGAUUGCAAUGUUGUUAGUAUGAACUCCUUGAAUAUCCAUAGUACUAAUGAUGAUUGCACUAGUUAUGAUGAAAAUGUCUCCUAUAAACAUGUCAAUUUUUGUGGAGUGCAUUGGGUUUGCAAGUACACACCAAAUAGGGAAGAUAGAUAUUGCAAGAGGCAUAAGCACUUAAAAACUAAAUUGUUGCAAGAAAGGCUAGAUGAUUGUGCUGAAAAUUUAAAUUUUCUUGGCCGUACUUGUGGACUUUGCAAUGAAAGUGGUCAUUUAGCUAUCUGA